AUUGAACGCUGGCGGCAUGCCUUACACAUGCAAGUCGAACGGCAGCACGGGAGCAAUCCUGGUGGCGAGUGGCGAACGGGUGAGUAAUAUAUCGGAACGUGCCCAGUCGUGGGGGAUAACGCAGCGAAAGCUGUGCUAAUACCGCAUACGAUCUAAGGAUGAAAGCGGGGGAUCGCAAGACCUCGCGCGAUUGGAGCGGCCGAUAUCAGAUUAGCUAGUUGGUGGGGUAAAGGCCCACCAAGGCGACGAUCUGUAGCUGGUCUGAGAGGACGACCAGCCACACUGGAACUGAGACACGGUCCAGACUCCUACGGGAGGCAGCAGUGGGGAAUUUUGGACAAUGGGCGAAAGCCUGAUCCAGCAAUGCCGCGUGCAGGAAGAAGGCCUUCGGGUUGUAAACUGCUUUUGUACGGAGCGAAAAGGUCUCCUCUAAUACAGGGGGCUCAUGACGGUACCGUAAGAAUAAGCACCGGCUAACUUCCUGCCAGCCGCCGCAGUAA
rnacentral:rRNA from 1 species